AAUAAUUAUAAUAAUAAUAAUACUGGGACUCCAAAAAAAUGUAUCAUAUAGAGAAUUAAACAUUUGUAUUUGUAUAAUGAUAAUGAGAAACUUGUGGGGCAGCCUCGCUCAGCCUUGACUAUCAAUGAGAAAUAUUCCUGAUCUUCACGGGACCUUGACCCUUGGGGUCGAGUCACAGCUCCUGGUCCUGCCUCUUCUCUGGGUCAGGAGGUCAUAUAUCAGCUCUUACAGACUUUUGGAAGCCUGAGUCAUACACCACAUAUCAUCGUAGACACGUAAUAAAUACAGUAACAAGGAAAAUGAUCAGAAACAUUUUGAGAGGAAACAAGAGUGUGAUGGUGACAGUGUUGAGAUGUAGACAACCUCACAGUAACAAUUUAAUGAGUUUACAG